CAGUCGCCGCGGGAAUACGUAGGGUGCAAGCGUUAAUCGGAAUUACUGGGCGUAAAGCGUGCGCAGGCGGUUUGUUAAGACAGAUGUGAAAUCCCCGGGCUCAACCUGGGAACUGCAUUUGUGACUGGCAAGCUAGAGUCUGGCAGAGGGGGGUGGAAUUCCGCGUGUAGCAGUGAAAUGCGUAGAUAUGCGGAGGAACACCGAUGGCGAAGGCAGCCCCCUGGGCCAACACUGACGCUCAUGCACGAAAGCGUGGGGAGCAAACAGGAUUAGAUACCCCGGUAGUCCCUGUCUCUUAUAC
rnacentral:rRNA from 1 species